rnacentral:rRNA from 1 species
UACGAAGGGGGCUAGCGUUGCUCGGAAUGACUGGGCGUAAAGGGCGCGUAGGCGGCUCAUACAGUCAGAUGUGAAAUUCCUGGGCUUAACCUGGGGGCUGCAUUUGAUACGUGUGGGCUUGAGUGGGGAAGAGGGUCGUGGAAUUCCCAGUGUAGAGGUGAAAUGCGCAGAUAUCAGGAAGAACACCCGUGGCGAAGGCGGCUCUCUGGGACGGUACUGACGCUGAGACGCGAAAGCGUGGGGAGCGAACAGG